rnacentral:rRNA from 1 species
UACGAACCGUGCGAACGUUGUUCGGAUUCACUGGGCUUAAAGGGCGCGUAGGCGGCUAAGCAAGUCUGUGGUGAAAUCUUUCGGCUCAACCGGAAAAUGGCCGUGGAUACUGCUUGGCUCGAGGGAGGUAGGGGUCGUGGGAACUAUCAGUGGAGCGGUGAAAUGCGUUGAUAUUGGUAGGAACGCCGGUGGCGAAAGCGCACGACUGGAUCUCUUCUGACGCUGAUGCGCGAAAGCUAGGGUAGCAAACGGG